UACGUAGGGUGCAAGCGUUAAUCGGAAUUACUGGGCGUAAAGCGUGCGCAGGCGGUUUUGUAAGUCUGUCGUGAAAUCCCCGGGCUCAACCUGGGAAUUGCGAUGGAGACUGCAAGGCUGGAGUCUGGCAGAGGGGGGUAGAAUUCCACGUGUGAGCAGUGAAAUGCGUAGAGAUGUGGAGGAACACCGAUGGCGAAGGCAGCCCCCUGGGUCAAGACUGACGCUCAUGCACGAAAGCGUGGGGAGCAAACAGG
rnacentral:rRNA from 1 species